rnacentral:lncRNA from 1 species
UGGAGACGGCUCAGACGAGCAGGUGAUGCAUUGACAGGGAGCAGAUGGUUCCCUGUGGAGAGACCCAUUUAUGUGUCUUUUGUCAGCAAGGCCAUCUUGUGGGAUAGAGGACUCUGCCACCACACUGCUCACGAUCGUCCAAAUCACCGUCCCUUAUUGU